rnacentral:rRNA from 1 species
UACGUAGGGUGCGAGCGUUAAUCGGAAUUACUGGGCGUAAAGCGUGCGCAGGCGGUUUUGUAAGCCCGAUGUGAAAUCCCUCGGCUCAACCGGGGAACUGCGUCUGAGACUGGAAGGCUUGAAUUCGGGAGAGGGAUGUGGAAUUCCAGGUGUAGCGGUGAAAUGCGUAGAUAUCUGGAGGAACACCGGUGGCGAAGGCGGCAUCCUGGACCGAUAUUGACGCUGAUGCGCGAAAGCCAGGGGAGCAAACGGG